rfam:Beta vulgaris subsp. vulgaris Bvchr6.sca002.con0041.1, whole genome shotgun sequence.
AGCCUAUUAGCUCAAAUUGGUAGAGCGUUGUGCUAAUUGUUGCACAAGAUGUAGGUUCGAAUCCUACAUAGGCUC